UAGAAUGUUUUGCUAUGAAAUAUAAUUUUUGUGAUGACUGUCUUUACUAAGGAGAGACAAUCCUGACUGCAAAAAAAUGGAUGCUGUCGAUCGAGGGAAGGGUCGUAAUCAGGUGGAAGCCAGCACAACACUGGAGUUUGUUCAGAGGUUUUUAGUCAGGAUUAAUCCUGACUCCAACAAGUGCACUGCCAAGGAGCAGAUGAGCAAGACAACAGGGAGAGUGGUGAAGCGGAAGACUUCAUACAUGAACCUCCAUGUAAUCUCCUUCAUCAGGGACUUCAGGGAGUUCUAUUUGCUAACUGACUAGAUACAGGUCUCCAAGGUCAGGGCAUGCAAGAAGUCAUAGACCUUUGUCAAGUGGCAGGGGAAGUUUAUUUUCCUUUCUGUUUUAAAUGUUCAUGCAAAUGUUAAAUAUUUUAAUGUUCAAAGUUUUAUUUUAUUUCAAUAUUGCCAUAGUGUUAUUCAUUGCUCUUUAAAAUGUGGUAAUAAUCAGUUAUUUGCACGGCUUGAAAGUAGUUAAUUUUUUUGACCGUAUUGUAUCAAUUUGCAUUAUUGUUAGGUCAUAGCAACCAGUCAUGUGGAACUAGUGAAUGAACUAGUAACAGUUCGCUCUGUAUGUUGCAUGUCGUCUAAUGUCCAUUAUCCCUUUAUGUUGUACCUGUUUGGUCAUCCUGUUCCCCAAAUGAUUUUAAAUAAAUAACUAUUAACAAUU